UCCUUCAUGGUAGCAGCCCUCUGAGACCCACAUGUCAUGAUCCUUCUUUCACAACAGUAGGAGAGCAGGAUGGUUGUGCAGCACGACUUCUGGUGAUGGGCACACUGCUAACCCCUCAGCAUUGAGUGAUGAUUCAGAUUCAUGCCAAGGGCAUCACUACCAUCAUCUGCCAGAGAGAGUUCUGAUGGACCUGCUGAGAGUGAAGGAGGCCAGAAGUGCCCUGGAACCCACUGUGUGCUGGAAGCUCUCUCUCUGCCACGGAUCCGCUCUGUGCCCUCACUAAUGACCUGAGCUUGGACACACAAACUUCACAGGCUAGCUGUCCACCUAGGAUGAUUAUGGAAGGGCGACUAUUUUCACAGAAAAUCAAAAGUUUUGUUCCAGGCUGCAGAUCAUCAAAGCUAAAAGCAACAAGGUGCGGUGAAACUGCUUGUCUGAAAGCCAGAACCGUGUUCACAGCUGCCACGGAAUCUUGUGGGACUUGGCUGCAAGGCCUCUCAACCCCAGUGCAGUGGAUAAGAGGAAGUGAGCUGUGGCACUGACUUCCACCCCUGCUGCCUCCCCCAUGUUCCUCCUGGGCUUCGUGGACUCUUCCCACACCCAAGGUUGUGAGGGUUCCUUGCUUUCAGCUAAAUACCAUCACUCUUGUCCCCA